AAAGGCGGCUUCGGCUGUCACUUAUGGAUGGACCCGCGUCGCAUUAGCUAGUUGGUGAGGUAACGGCUCACCAAGGCAACGAUGCGUAGCCGACCUGAGAGGGUGAUCGGCCACACUGGGACUGAGACACGGCCCAGACUCCUACGGGAGGCAGCAGUAGGGAAUCUUCCGCAAUGGACGAAAGUCUGACGGAGCAACGCCGCGUGAGUGAUGAAGGCUUUCGGGUCGUAAAACUCUGUUGUUAGGGAAGAACAAGUGCUAGUUGAAUAAGCUGGCACCUU
rnacentral:rRNA from 1 species